UAAUACUAGGGGUGCGAGCGUUGUCCGGAAUCACUGGGCGUAAAGGGUCCGUAGGCGUCCCAAAAAGUCAUCUGUUAAAUACACCGGCUUAACCGGUGGUCUGCAUUUGAAACUGUUGGGAUAGAGUAUAGGAGAGGAAAGUGGAAUUCCUGGUGUAGCGGUGACAUGCGUAGAUAUCAGGAGGAACACCAAUGGCGAAGGCAGCUUUCUAGCCUAUUACUGACGCUGAGGGACGAAAGCGUGGGGAGCGAACAGGAUUAGAUACCCUGGUAGUCCACGCCGUAAACGAUGAGUACUUGGUGUCGGGGGAAUCGACCCCCUCGGUACCGGAGCUAACGCAUUAAGUACUCCGCCUGGGAACUACGACCGCAAGGUUG
rnacentral:rRNA from 1 species